CCUUCCCUGAUAGUUCAGUUGGUAACAAAUCUGCCUGCAAUGCAGGAGACCUCGGUUUGAUUCCUGGGCUGGGAAGAUCUGCUGGAGAAGGGAAAGACUGCUCAUUCCAGUAUUCCGGCCUACAGAAUUUCCAUGGACAGUAUAGU